GGAGGGUCCAAGCGUUGUCCGGAUUUAUUGGGUGUAAAGGGUGUGUAGGCGGGCUUGUAAGUCAGAGGUGAAAUCCUACGGCUCAACCGUAGAACUGCCUUUGAUACUGCAGGUCUUGAGUCCUGGAGAGGUUGUUAGAAUUCGUGGUGUAGCGGUGAAAUGCGUAGAUAUCACGAGGAAUACCGGUUACGAAGGUUGACAACUGGACAGGUACUGACGCUGAGGCACGAAAGCGUGGGGAGCAAACAGGAUUAGAUACCCUGGUAGUCCACGCCGUAAACGAUGAUCACUCGGUGUCGCGGAGUAAUCUGCGGUGCCUAAGCUAACGCAUUAAGUGAUCCACCUGGGGAGUACGAUCGCAAGGUUG
rnacentral:rRNA from 1 species